GUGGGGAAUAUUGCGCAAUGGGCGAAAGCCUGACGCAGCGACGCCGCGUGGGUGAUGAAGGCCUUCGGGUCGUAAAACCCUGUCGGGUGGAACGAAUACCGCUCCGCUAAUACCGGAGCGGCUUGACGGUACCACCGAAGGAAGCCCCGGCUAACUACGUGCCAGCAGCCGCGGUAAUACGUAGGGGGCAAGCGUUGUUCGGAUUUACUGGGCGUAAAGAGCGCGUAGGCGGUUCGAUGAGUCGGAGGUGAAAUCCCUCGGCUUAACCGAGGACCCGCGUCCGAUACUGUCGAACUUGAGUGCAGGAGAGGAGAGCGGAAUUCCCAGUGUAGCGGUGAAAUGCGUAGAUAUUGGGAGGAACACCGGUGGCGAAGGCGGCUCUCUGGACUGUCACUGACGCUGAGGCGCGAAAGCUAGGGGAGCAAACGGGAUUAGAAACCCUUGUAGUCC
rnacentral:rRNA from 1 species